GAACCUGAUCUUUCAGUACAAAAGCUGAAAUAAGACCAUAAGACGAGAAGACCCUGCGGAGCUUUAAAAAACCCACUUUUUAAGUUGGGGCGACUACGGAAACAAAAAAAACUUCCACGACCAAGGGCUAACCCCCCAAAAAAGGACUCACACACCAACCCGCUGAUCAACGAACCAAGUUACCCCAGGGAUAACAGCGCCAUCCUCUUCUAGAGCCCCUAUCGCCAAGAGGGUUUACGACCUCGAUGUUGGAUCAGGACCCCCUAGUGGCGCAGCCGCUACUAAAGGCUCGUUUGUUCAACGAUUAAAGUCCUACGUGAUCUGAGUUCAGACCGGAGCAAUCCAGGUC
rnacentral:rRNA from 1 species